GUGGGGAAUAUUGGACAAUGGGCGAAAGCCUGAUCCAGCCAUGCCGCGUGUGUGAAGAAGGUCUUCGGAUUGUAAAGCACUUUAAGUUGGGAGGAAGGGCAGUAAGUUAAUACCUUGCUGUUUUGACGUUACCGACAGAAUAAGCACCGGCUAACUUCGUGCCAGCAGCCGCGGUAAUACGAAGGGUGCAAGCGUUAAUCGGAAUUACUGGGCGUAAAGCGCGCGUAGGUGGUUUUGUAAGUUGGAGGUGAAAUCCCCGGGCUCAACCUGGGAACUGCAUCAAAAACUGCAUGACUAGAGUACGGUAGAGGGUAGUGGAAUUUCCUGUGUAGCGGUGAAAUGCGUAGAUAUAGGAAGGAACACCAGUGGCGAAGGCGACUACCUGGACUGAUACUGACACUGAGGUGCGAAAGCGUGGGGAGCAAACAGGAUUAGAAACCCGUGUAGUCC
rnacentral:rRNA from 1 species